rnacentral:rRNA from 1 species
CUACGGGGGGCUGCAGUCGAGAAUCUUCCACAAUGGACGAAAGUCUGAUGGAGCGACGUCGCGUGAUGGAUGAAGUCUUUCGGGAUGUAAACAUCUUUUAUGAGGGAAGAAGCUUAUUGACGGUACCUCAUGAAUAAGGGGUUGCUAAACUCGUGCCAGCAGCAGCGGUAAUACGAGUGCCCCGAGCGUUAUCCGGAAUCACUGGGCGUAAAGGGUGCGUAGGUGGUCUGAUUAGUCUUUUGUUAAAUUCUCCCGCUCAACGGGGGGCCCGCGAAAGAUACGGUCAGACUAGAGGAUGUGAGAGGUGUACGGAACUCAUGGUGUAGGGGUGAAAUCCGUUGAUAUCAUGGGGAACACCGAAUGCGAAGGCAGUACACUGGCACAUUCCUGACACUGAGGCACGAAAGCGUGGGUAGCGAAUGGGAUUAGAUACCCUAGUAGUC